ACUCAGCUAUGGAUCAACCAACACAUUAUUAAGGUUAAAGAAAAGAGAUUGGUUGCUGGAUGUUCCAUCCAAAUGUUUAUUAAUGUUGUGGGGGGUAAUACAUGGUGCCCUGUGCUUUCCAACAAGACCGCUGUCCUUGUCUUAAUUUCCCUCCAUUUAAAAGCAGCUUAAUAAUAUUAUUAUUAAUAAUACACCAACUGUAUAUAUAUUAAGACCUAAUCUUUCCGAUUCGCGGCUUUGAAAUUUUUUUAAGGAAUGCAAUGCAACUUGCUUUGUAUUUUCCCUUCACAUUAAAAAAAUGGAAGUUGACUUUGCUGCAAACACCAAGAAACUCUCUUCAACGACAUAGCAACACUAUCACUAAUCAGCAGGUUCGUGGAGUUUGAGCAUUGAAACUAAGGAAUAAAGAAAAAACAAAAAAAGAAAGAAAUAGUUUAUCUAACAAGGUGGAGAAAUAAUAUUGCAGCACGAAACCUC
rnacentral:lncRNA from 1 species